AUUGAACGCUGGCGGCAGGCCUAACACAUGCAAGUCGAGCGGAUGAAGGGAGCUUGCUCCUGGAUUCAGCGGCGGACGGGUGUGUAAUGCCUAGGAAUCUGCCUGGUAGUGGGGGAUAACGUCCGGAAACGGGCGCUAAUACCGCAUACGUCCUGCGGGAGAAAGUGGGGGAUCCUCGGACCUCACGCUAUCAGAUGAGCCUAGGUCGGAUUAGCUAGUUGGUGGGGUAAAGGCCUACCAAGGCGACGAUCCGUAACUGGUCUGAGAGGAUGAUCAGUCACACUGGAACUGAGACACGGUCCAGACUCCUACGGGAGGCAGCAGUGGGGAAUAUUGGACAAUGGGCGAAAGCCUGAUCCAGCCAUGCCGCGUGUGUGAAGAAGGUCUUCGGAUUGUAAAGCACUUUAAGUUGGGAGGAAGGGCAGUAAGUUAAUACCUUGCUGUUUUGACGUUACCAACAGAAUAAGCACCGGCUAACUUCGUG
rnacentral:rRNA from 1 species